AGGUAGUAGCAAUAGUAAAGCUAAAUGAUAGUGAAGAUAGUGAAUUGAAACCCAAAUCAUUAUAAAUGCUUACACCAUGUUUGGUUGGGUGUAUUGGCUAUAAUCGAUGGGCCCCACUUAAUCCCCAUUUAAUCCGUUGUUUGGUUGGUUGUAUUGCCAUUACGUCCCAAAUCUGUUCCUUGCCUAAUACACCCGGUCCCGUAAUAGGUAUUCCCCCCAUCCAGCGCCGAUUAGAGAAUCCUUACCCAUUUCUUAUUUUCGUUUCCUUUUUCUGCCCUCAUAGAUUUCUGCUUCUUCUUCCAUCGGUAUUGCAGAUCUGUCCUCAUUUCUUCUGCUUUCAUAACAAAUCCUCAACAUUGUCUUCAUCGGAGGCCGAUUUCAGUAUUUCUUGUAGUUUUUCUCUCUUAGAAAUUGAAACAGAGAGUUUAGGAUUUUGAGAGGUUUAGAUUCUGGUGGAAGAGUUGAUAUCAGGUUGUUCUGCUGUUUGGUUUUGUGUUUUUGCUUCAAUAAGGUAGAGAAGAAAAUGGUGAUAAUUGCUGUUGAGUGAGAAUAUCAGAUGAAAACUGGAAUAAGAAUGAACUUUUAAUCCUAACAGGAUUUGUAGUUUUAUAUCUGUAAUUCAACACUCGUUUUUCGGUAUCAAUUCAUGGCAGAGUGUUAACUGGUGCAAAAUUGUUGCUUUAGAUGUUUAUGUUUCUUUACUUUGUUAUGCAAAGUUCUCAUUUCUUUUGUUUGAAGUUUCAAAUUGUCUGCAUCUCUUUAAGUUUGUGAGUUUAGAAGAUGGCAGCAGCUUUAGAUUCUUUUGUUGACAGUCACUAAAAUGCUUGGUUCUGAGGUUAGAAAAAUUACAUUAUGUAUGAUUUCUUUUAUAGUUAUUGAGUGUACAAAAUUCGCCGCUUGUUAAUAUAUUAUCUCAUAAAGCUUCCUUAAGAAUAAUUGUUGCAAGUGGUUUUGAGUGAUGAAAGAAGUAAUAUAUGACUUUCAUGCUUGGAAGCCUAGCUUAGUUAUAAAAAGUGUAAUGCAGAUAUGAUUUCCCCUGGGCACCCACAAGGUUUAUCCCAUUUUAUGGUGGUGUUGAUUACCAUGAUUACCAUCAUUAUGUUGGAGAACAAAGCCAGAGCAACUUUGCUUCAGUUUUUACUUAUUGUGAUUAUAUCUAUGGCACCGACAAGGUAAUCAAGCAAUGCAUGGUUACUUUUUUUUUUCUCUUUGAUUUAGUGUUAUCAGCUGAUAGUUUAAUUUGGUAACAAAUUUCUUUCUUGUGUGAUUAGAGCUAUCGAUACCAUAAGAAGGUCCUAAGGAAGUGGCUACUCCAAAGCAGAUUAGGGAACUUAUGCAAGUAGAUGGCUUAACCAAUGAUGAAGUUAAGAGUCAUUUGCAGAAAUACCGGCUACACACACGAAGACUUCUACCUACCACAACAACAACAACCCUUGCAAAUCAAUCAGGCCUUGUUUUGGGUGGUGGUCAUGCAUGGAUGUGUCAAGAUCAGUUUGGAGAAUCCUCAAAAGGGAGCAGUUCGCAGUCGGGUUCCCCUCAAGGUCCUCUCCAGUUAGCCACAAACACCAGAGGGACCUCCACUACAGGGUGUGAGAGCAUAGAAGAUGAUGAAGAUGCAAAAUCCGAGUGCUAUAGUUGGAAGAGCCAUGUUCAGAAACCCAGAAAAAACAAUGCAUAGAGUUUACCCACCAUGAAUUUUGCAGAUAAAAAAAAAAAGAAAGAAAGUAUACAUGGGAGGAAAUCAUUUAUCUUAUACAACCACUAUAUUUAUACAUAUAAAAGGAGAAGGAUCUUGAGAAUUGAGAGAGACAUGUAAAAUUUUUGCAGGAUUUAGCUUUCCUUGGAUAUCAGAUUCAUGUAUUUGUUUUAUUGCACAACUAGUAAAGAAUUCUUGUUAUCAUCAAUUUGGACACUUUGGCUGGAGAAAUUUUCAUUUCUGAAUUGAAGGAUUACAAUUAUUGUUUA